UUAAGUUCAGCGGGUAGUCUUACUUGAUUUGAGAUCGAGUUUAACAAGAAUCGUUGCCGACCCUUGUGAAAUCCUGCAUCAGUCAGCCAAUACGGUCAAACUCCCUUUAUGUUAGCUGCAGCAAAAGUAAUAAUCCGUUUGACGGGACUAAAUGAAUAUGCUUUUAGCUCGAGGAGAUGUCCAGCUGCACCUGCAUUUCA
rnacentral:misc_RNA from 1 species